UGGAGGAAUAAACUUUUUUUUUUUUGAAGAAAUCCUCAACUUCCAGGUACACAGAUAAUACAUUUUUUUUGUCAAAAUCAGAUAAUACAUUUUUUAUACGUAAAUGUACGUAAAAUAAGAAACCUACACGCUUCCUAGACCAAUCACGACACAAAAUACAAUUGUAAAGUAAACUAAGAGCACAUUAUAAAUAAACAAAAGACAUAAGAUAAAAAUGAGAGAAGAUAACAACGAAAUUCGGAGAGGCAUCGUCAAAAAAAAAAAAUAACAGAGAGCGAGAGAAAAAAAAAGCGUCGUCGUCGUUCUUUUAUCUUCUCCGGCCGCGGCCUCGCGCCGUUGGUUAUGGGAGAAGGUUUGGUCUUUUGUGGUGUGGAGACGCAUAGAAUGGCGCGUGGUGAACCCUCAUAGAGUCCGAUGGCGAGUCUUAAUUGGAUCUAGAGGGAGUCUUUUGAUCGAAGAUGCGUAGAUGGCGCAUGAUGAAACUUUCAGAAUCCAAUGGCCAGUUUUUUGUUGGAGCUGGAAGAAUAAAUGGAGAUGAAACGCUUUAAAGGCGUGUGGUGAGCAGAAGUGAGAAAAAGCGAGAAGAGAAGGCUUCAGUGGAGCAGAAGAGAGAAGAAGGUGAAGUCUACAGCAACGGUUGUCCUAAAGCUAACGAGCUGGUGUCGAUUCUUCAGGACUGGGUUUGAAUCUCAUUUAGUGUAGUUAGGAACUUUGCUUAUGUCAGUUUUGGCUCUGGGGUUGAUUAUAUUACAACUGCCGGCUUGUGUAUCAUGUCUUAGGUUCUACUUCUUUUGUUUGGAGUUGUAAACUCCAUUGCCAUGGGUCUGUAAUGUUGUGUUCCUCAUAAAUUAAAUCAUCAGAUGACAAAAAAAACAACGAAA